UGCGUAGGUGGCAUGGUAAGUCGGAUGUGAAAUCCCGGGGCUCAACCCCGGAACUGCAUUCGAUACUGCUGCGCUAGAGUACUGGAGAGGAGAUUGGAAUUUACGGUGUAGCAGUGAAAUGCGUAGAUAUCGUAAGGAAGACCAGUGGCGAAGGCGGAUCUCUGGACAGUUACUGACACUGAGGCAAGGCCAGGGGAGGCGAACG
rnacentral:rRNA from 1 species